UACGAGUGCCUCAAGCGUUAUCCGGAAUUAUUGGGCGUAAAGAGCUCGUAGGCGGCCUGUCGCGUCUGCUGUGAAAUCCCGGGGCUUAACCCCGGGCGUGCAGUGGAUACGGGCUGGCUGGAGGCAGGCAGGGGAGAACGGAAUUCCCGGUGUAGCGGUGAAAUGCGCAGAUAUCGGGAGGAACACCGGUGGCGAAGGCGGUUCUCUGGGCCUGUUCUGACGCUGAGGAGCGAAAGCGUGGGGAGCGAACAGG
rnacentral:rRNA from 1 species